rnacentral:rRNA from 1 species
GACGAACGCUGGCGGCGUGCUUAACACAUGCAAGUCGAACGAAGUGGCGAACGGGUGAGUAACGCGUAAUCAACCUGCCCUUCAGAGGGGGACAACAUUUGGAAACGACUUCUAAUACCGCAUACUGAAGGAGGGGAUUGCGUCUGAUUAGCUACUUGGAUGGGUAACGGCCAACCAAGGCGAUGAUCAGUAGGCGGUCUGAGAGGGUGAACGGCCACAGUGGGAAUGGGAAACGGCCCAGACUCCGACGGGAGGGAGCAGUGGGGAAUUUUCCGCAAUGGACGAAAGUCUGACGGAGCAACGCCGCGUGAGGGAUGACGGCCUUCGGGUUGUAAAGCUCUGUUAAUCGGGACGCGGUACCGAACUAGAAAGCCACGGCUAACUACGUGCCAGCAGCCGCGGUAAUAC